CACAUAAUGAAUGCUGUUCUAUUGACAGGGACCAUACUGGGACACUUAACCUACUUGUGCUUCCAAGUGAGAUCAUUGUGGUUCUUUUUUCCAACCUGAAAAAUCCUUGAAGCCCUUGAAGCCAUGCCUAGUGAUACCUGUGCAUGAUCCGACCCAUACCUAACAAAAGGAUUCAGGACUCAGAAGGUCCUUGGAGAAGAUAAUGACACUGCAUUACCAAAAUGCAAGGAUAUAAAAAUAAAUUCAUUAAUACAGUGGUUCUGGAAUUUGCGUAUCAGCACUGAUACACCACCUGGUAUCAGCACUGUGGAGACACGGAGCCAAUCUGAGUUCACUACAAAGCAGUACAGAGAGUGACCCAAAGAAUCUCCUGACAACCAGGUAUCAUCACAAUGAUGGCUGUUGCUGUUGAGUGUGGACUCCCCCUUCAAACCUAUUGGCAGCCACAGGAGUGACAAGGAAGUGUGAGACAACAGGAUUUAAAGUCACCAACACUUCAAAGAAGCAACCUAAGUGUCUGUGGAUGGAUGAAUAGAUAAAGAAAAUGUUAUAUAUAUAUGAAUAUUAUUCAGCCAUAAAAAGAAGGAAGUCCUGUCAUUUGCAACAACACAGAUGAAACAAAAGGGCAUUAUGCUAAAUGAAAUAAGUCAGACAGAGAGAAAGACAAAUACUGUAUGAUCUCACUAUUUAAAUAUGGAGUCUUAAAAAAAAAGUCAAACUCCUAACAAACAGGAGAAUGGUGGUCACCAAGGGCUGGCACAUGGGGGGAAUGGGAAGAUAUUGAUCAAAAGGCACAAACUUCCAGUUAUAAGAUGAAUAAGUUCUGGGUAUCUAAGGUACACAUGGUGAUUACAGUUAAUAAUACUGUAUUAUAUCCUGGAAAAUUGCUAAGGAAAUAGAUGUUAUGCAUUCUUACCAGAAAA
rnacentral:lncRNA from 1 species